AGAGUUUGAUCCUGGCUCAGGAUGAAUGCUAGCGGUGUGCCUGAGAUAUGCAAGUCGAGCGAUUAUUUUGCCGCAAGGUGAGAUAGUAGCGGCGGACGGCUGAGUAAUGUACAGGAAUCUGCCCCUUAGUGGAACAUAGCUCCGGGAAACCGGGGGUAAUUUUCCAUAGUUUCACCCUUUGGGUGAAUAAAAGCCUUUACCGGUUGCUAAGGGAUGAGCCUGUAUCCUAUCAGGUUGUUGGUAGAGUAAUAGCCUACCAAGCCUAUGACGGGUAGCUGAUCUGGGAGGAUGAUCAGCCAGAGGGGGACUGAGACACGGCCCCCACUCCUACGGGAGGCAGCAAUCAGGAAUAGUCGGCAAUGGGCGAAAGCCUGACCGCGCGACACCGCGUGUAGGAUUAAGGUAUUAUUUAUCGUAAACUACUGUUGGAGGGGAAGAAGUCCCGCCUUUGGCGGGAUUGACGGUACCCUCCGAGAAAGGAGCCGCUAACUGCGUGCCAGAAGCGUCGGUAAUACGUGGGCUUCAAGCAUUAUCCGGUUUUAUUGGGCGUAAAGGGUCGUGUAGGCUGUUUGAUAAGGUAUCUUUGAAAGCUCGCCGCUCAACGGUGAGUUGGGGAUACGACUGUCAUGACUAGAUUUUCUUUAAGGGUAAUCGGAACUCAGAGAGGAGUAGUGAAAUGCGUUGAUACUCUGGGGAACACCAAUGGCGAAGGCAGAUUACUGGAAGGAAAAUGACGCUGAGACACGAAAGCUAGGGUAGCGAAGCAGAUUAGAGACCUGCGUAGUCCUAGCCGUAAACGAAUGUCUGCUACCUGCAUCUUCAUCUUUCCGUAAGGUUAGAUUAGGUGUGGGAAAGGUAACCCGUUAAGCAGAUCGCCUGGGGAGUACUGCCGCAAGGUUAAAACUCAAAGGAAUUGGCGGGGAGGCACACAACCAGUGGAACAUGUGGUUUAAUUUGAUACAAACCAAAGAACCUCACCAAGUUUUGACAUGCUAGCGUCCAGUUCUGUGGAAACAUGGAAUGUUCGCAAGAAGGCUAGCACAGGUGCUGCAUGGCUGUCGUCAGCUCGUUCCGUGAGGAGUGCCCUUAAGUGGGACAACGAGCGCAACCCCCAUCUUGUGUUAAAUUUGUCACAAGAAACUGCUCCGCCUUUGGCGGAGAGGAAGGAGGGGCAGACGUCAAGUCAGCAUGGUCCUUAUAACUUGGGCUACACACAUGUUACAAUGAAGGAGACAAAGAGUAUUGCGACACUGUAAAGUGAAGCAAAUCCCUUAAACUCAUUCUCAGUGGGGAUUGGGGUCUGAAACUCGACCCCAUGAACGCGGAAUUGGUAGUAAUCGCAGGUCAGUCACACUGCGGUGAAUACGUUCUUGCCUCUUGCACACACCGCCCGUCAAGCCAACAAAGUCGAGUAUAUCUGAACUCCGAUUUAUCGGGGGAGGAUACAUCCGGCGAUGGGGGUUAAGUCGUAACAAGGUAUCCGUACUGGAAGGUGCGGAUGGAUCACCUCCUUUCU
rnacentral:rRNA from 2 species